GGGUUGUGAGGUUAAGCGACUAAGCGUACACGGUGGAUGCCCUGGCAGUCAGAGGCGAUGAAGGGCGUGCUAAUCUGCGAUAAGCGCCGGUAAGGUGAUAUGAACCGUUAUAACCGGCGAUACCCGAAUGGGGAAA
rnacentral:rRNA from 13 species